ACGUUUCGGGAUUUUGGCAAGGU
rnacentral:siRNA from 1 species